rnacentral:rRNA from 1 species
UUUUGUUAACUGAUAAGUUUGCUAGAUUGGUUUUUAGGUUUAUUUGCCUUUUGCAUCAUGCUCAAUGGAUUAUGUUAGAGUAUUCUUUUUAUCGAAGGGUUUGGAUCUCAGAAUAUAGCUGUUUGGAACUUAUUUUAUCUGAGUUAGAUUGAAUAGAUAGAUUUAUUCUGUGUUGUGAAAUGUUAGUCGUCGAACCUUAUAUCUAUUUUAUCACUGGUCAUUUCUGAUGACAUAUUAAAUUUAAGAUUUAGUAUGAGUUUAUACUUUUUUUUGUUUAUGAUGAUAAAGGGGUUAAGAGUACUCAUUUAUUAUAAAAUUGUUAAAAAUUUUGUUACAGGGGUAAUAUAGUUUAAUUUAUGGCAUGUGAUUUAUGUUAAUAGUUAGGUAAGAAAGAUCAUUGAAUAAGUAAUAAUAAUAUGAUGAUUAUUUCUCGAGAAUCAUCCGUCUGUUUAUUAAAAACAUUUCUAACUGUAAAUAUAGUUAGUAGUGCCUGCCCGGUGUGUUUAUUAACGGCCGCAGUAAUUUGACUGUGCAAAGGUAGCAUAAUUAAUUGUCCUAUAAUUGAGGGCUUGUUUGAAUGGUUUGACGAGAUGAGAUUCUUAUAUUCAUUAUAUGAUUGAAAUUGAUGUUAUGAGUGCAGAAUCUAUAUGUUGUUAAUAAGACGGAAAGACCCCGGGAGCUUUUGUGUUUGCUUGGGGCAAGAUUUUAUGUUUCAUAAAUGUUUAGACCCUGCAAAUGUGAUUGGUUUAGCGAGUUAAGUUGCCCCGGGGAUAACAGGGUAAUAAUUAAUUAGAGGCCAUAUCGAAUUAAUUGUUUGCCACCUCGAUGUUGACUUAGGUUAGUAUUAUGGCGCAGUCGUUUGUAUACUAGGUCUGUUCGACCAUAUGGACCUUCAUGAGUUGAGUUUAGACCGGUGUGAGCCAGGUCGGUUCUUAUCUAUU